GACGAACGCUGGCGGCGUGCUUAACACAUGCAAGUCGAACGGUAAGGCCCUUCGGGGUACACGAGUGGCGAACGGGUGAGUAACACGUGGGUGAUCUGCCCUGCACUUCGGGAUAAGCCUGGGAAACUGGGUCUAAUACCGGAUAGGACUACUGGCUUCAUGGUUGGGGGUGGAAAGCUUUUGCGGUGUGGGAUGGGCCCGCGGCCUAUCAGCUUGUUGGUGGGGUAAUGGCCUACCAAGGCGACGACGGGUAGCCGGCCUGAGAGGGUAACCGGUCACACUGGGACUGAGCUACGGCCCAGACGCCUACGGGAGGCAGCAGUGGGGAAUAUUGCACAAUGGGCGCAAGCCUGAUGCAGCGACGCCGCGUGAGGGAUGACGGCCUUCGGGUUGUAAACCUCUUUCAGCUAUGACGAAGCGCAAGUGACGGUAGUAGCAGAAGAAGGACCGGCCAACUACGUGCCAGCCGCCGCCGUAA
rnacentral:rRNA from 1 species